rnacentral:rRNA from 1 species
GUCUGUGGUCAUACCGCCCUGAACACACCUGAUCUCAGAAGCUAAGCACUGUCGGGCCUGAUUACUCUUCUCUGUAUCCAGGAAUACUUUGUGCAGAGU